rnacentral:tRNA from 1 species
GCCAGAGUAGCUCAGUUGGUAGAGCAGCUGAUUUGUAAUCAGCUGGUCGGGGGUUCGAGUCCCUUCUCUGGCUC